AUUGAACGCUGGCGGAAUGCUUUACACAUGCAAGUCGAGCGGCAGCACGGGGGCAACCCUGGUGGCGAGCGGCGAACGGGUGAGUAAUACAUCGGAACAUGCCCAGUCGUGGGGGAUAACACUUCGAAAGAAGUGCUAAUACCGCAUACGUCCUGAGGGAGAAAGCGGGGGAUCUUCGAACCUCGCGCGAUUGGAGUGGCCGAUGUCAGAUUAGCUAGUUGGUGGGGUAAAGGCCUACCAAGGCAACGAUCUGUAGCUGGUCUGAGAGGAUGAUCAGCCACACUGGGACUGAGACACGGCCCAGACUCCUACGGGAGGCAGCAGUGGGGAAUUUUGGACAAUGGGGGCAACCCUGAUCCAGCCAUUCCGCGUGAGUGAAGAAGGCCUUCGGGUUGUAAAGCUCUUUCGGCAGGAACGAAACGGCGAGCUCUAACAUAGCUUGCUAAUGACGGUACCUGAAGAAGAAGCACCGGCUAACUACGUGCCAGCAGCCGCGGUAAGAC
rnacentral:rRNA from 1 species